rnacentral:rRNA from 1 species
GUGCACGCUGGCGGUAGGCCUAACCCCUGCCAGCCGAACGGCAGCACAGUAAGAGCUUGCUCUUACGGGUGGCGAGUGGCGGACGGGUGAGGAAUACAUCGGAAUCUACUUUUUCGUGGGGGAUAACGUAGGGAAACUUACGCUAAUACCGCAUACGACCUACGGGUGAAAGCAGGGGAUCUUCGGACCUUGCGCGAUUGAAUGAGCCGAUGUCGGAUUAGCUAGUUGGCGGGGUAAAGGCCCACCAAGGCGACGAUCCGUAGCUGGUCUGAGAGGAUGAUCAGCCACACUGGAACUGAGACACGGUCCAGACUCCUACGGGAGGCAGCAGUGGGGAAUAUUGGACAAGGGGCGCAAGCCUGAUCCAGCCAUACCGCGUGGGUGAAGAAGGCCUUCGGGUUGUAAAGCCCUUUUGUUGGGAAAGAAAAGCAGCAGGUUAAUACCCCGCUGUUCUGACGGUACCCAAAGAAUAAGCACCGGCUAACUUCGU